GAUCCUGGCUCAGGACGAACGCUGGCGGCGCGCCUAACACAUGCAAGUCGAACGAGCGAGAGAGAGCUUGCUUUCUCGAGCGAGUGGCGAACGGGUGAGUAACGCGUGAGGAACCUGCCUCAAAGAGGGGGACAACAGUUGGAAACGACUGCUAAUACCGCAUAAGCCCACGGCUCGGCAUCGAGCAGAGGAAAAAGGAGCAAUCCGCUUUGAGAUGGCCUCGCGUCCGAUUAG
rnacentral:rRNA from 1 species